rnacentral:rRNA from 1 species
CCUACGGGAGGCAGCAGUGGGGAAUAUUGCACAAUGGGGGAAACCCUGAUGCAGCGACGCCGCGUGAGUGAGGAAGUACUUCGGUAUGUAAAGCUCUAUUAGUAGGGAAGAAAAUGACGGUACCUAACUAAGAAGCUCCUGCAAAAUACGGGCCAGCAGCCGAAGUAAUACGUAGGGGGCAAGCGUUAUCCGGAUGUAAGGGGUGUAAAGGUAGCGUAGACGGUUAAUCAAGUCAGAAGUGAAAACCCAGGGCUCAACCUUGGGACUGCUUUUGAAGCUGAGUCGCUAGAGUGCAGGAGAGGUAAGCGGAAUUCCUAGUGUAGCGGUGAAAUGCGUAGAUAUUAGGAGGAACACCAGUGGCGAAGGCGGCUUACUGGACUGUAACUGACGUUGAGGCUCGAAAGCGUGGGGAGCAAACAGGAUUAGAUACCCCGGUAGUC